rnacentral:misc_RNA from 1 species
GAUGAAGAACGGAGCAAAAUGCGAUAAGUAAUGUGAAUUGCAGAAUUCAGUGAAUCAUCGAAUCUUUGAACGCACAUUGCGCCCCUUGGUAUUCCGAGGGGCAUGCCUGUUCGAGCGUCAUUAUAACCCCUCAAGCUCAGCUUGGUGUUGGGGCCUGCUGCACUGGCAGCCCUUAAAAUCAGUGGCGGCGCCAUCUGGCUCUAAGCGUAGUAAUUCUUCUCGCUAUGGAGUCCUGGUGGAUGCUUGCCAUCAACCCCCAAUUUUUCUAUGGUUGACCUCGGAUCAGGUAGGGAUACCCGCUGAACUUAAGCAUAUCAAUAAGCGGAGGA